UGAACUAAUUGCCUACUUCAAAAGCAGUUUUGCAUGAAAGUUUCAACAUCUAAUUGGAAUUUCUCUGGAAAGUUUACAAUGCCCGAUAUUUCUACACAUCUGCCACAAAUUUAUGGAAAACAAUAUUUAUAGAAACUGAACAUACCUUGGUUAAACGUAUAUGAAAUGGGUAACCAUCCUCGAAGAAUAUCAACCAGCUGUCGGCAAUGUGCAGGUGGACUGAGGAAUUUUCCAGUGUAUCCUUUAUGGACUGUACUCCGUCUUAGCACUAUCCUCAAGUUUUACCCGAGAGGCCAUGCUUCAGGUUGGACCGUCUUCCAUAUAUCUACUGACUUCAUAUAAAUGAAAGUCUCGCUGAUCUGCACUACCAGCUCGUUCAACGUUACUGAACAACAAAGUAAUCCGACAAUCAGACUGGACCCGGUCACGUUAGAAGAUACCAAAAAUAGGGGAUGAACAUACAAUCGAUUCUGCAUCGAUGCAUGACUUCGCUCGGAACGCGGCAAGAAUUAACAAUGGACGAAAAUACUACAGACGUGUUUAUUAACAAUAAAGUUAUUUUAGUUUUUAUGAAAUAGCGAAUGAAUAAAAAUAUUAGGUAUAUGAGUUUUAUUUAGAGAUGAAAUAAGUCAGAAAUACAGC